CAUGCAAGUCGAGCGGAUGAAUGGAGCUUGCUCCUGGAUUCAGCGGCGGACGGGUGAGUAAUGCCUAGGAAUCUGCCUGGUAGUGGGGGACAACGUUUCGAAAGGAACGCUAAUACCGCAUACGUCCUACGGGAGAAAGUGGGGGAUCUUCGGACCUCACGCUAUCAGAUGAGCCUAGGUCGGAUUACCUAGUUGGUGAGGUAAAGGCUCACCAAGGCGACGAUCCGUAACUGGUCUGAGAGGAUGAUCAGUCACACUGGAACUGACACACGGUCCAGACUCCUACGGGAGGCACCAGUGGGGAAUAUUGGACAAUGGGCGAAAGCCUGAUCCAGCCAUGCCGCGUGUGUGAAGAAGGUCUUCGGAUUGUAAAGCACUUUAAGUUGGGAGGAAGGGCAGUAAGUUAAUACCUUGCUGUUUUGACGUUACCAACAGAAUAAGCACCGGCUAACUUCGUGCCAGCAGCCGCGGUAAUACGAAGGGUGCAAGCGUUAAUCGGAAUUACUGGGCGUAAAGCUCGCGUAGGUGGUUCGUUAAGUUGGAUGUGAAGUCCCCGGGCUCAACCUGGGAACUGCAUCCAAA
rnacentral:rRNA from 1 species